rnacentral:lncRNA from 1 species
UUUAGUAUAAUUCAAUGCAAAGUCUCUAUUCAUUGACAAGAAUUAUCAACCAUGCUAAGAAAGAAUUACAAGAGCACUCGUUGAUCUUAAUGUGGGUAAAGUUGCACCAGUCCAACAAUAAAAAAUAAGUAGGUGCUAACCUCUGAUCUGAAACAAAUAAUGAUUCAGAGAUAAGCAGAUAGAGAAGAUAAAUCUUUAGAGAUAAAAGUUGACAAUCGAUGGGUAUGAGAUCAGCGCUUGACGGUGUAUGAUUGCUUCCAAAAUGGGUCUUUCAUCUCAAUAUUUCCUUGGAAUAAUUUCAAUCUUUUUAUGUGUUUUGACCAACAAAAAUUAAGAAAUCUUUCUCAAAUUUGCAUGAAAGUUGCAGUCUGCGAACUUACAAAAGGUUGAAAGUCUACGCUAUUAGAAAUCUUAAAACAAAGCCUAAAAUUUGGUCUGCAGUUUUUCUUUUUCCUUUUUCUAUUGUUUUCUUUGGAAUGGUGCCAGAAGAAAGCAAGUCCUUUCUCAAAGAAAGAACUUAGUUUUAAAGUAAAAGCAAAAGCAAAAAAGAGACGCAGAUGUAGAUCAUCAUGCAGGUGUUUGGCAAACACUGAAACGGAAGACGCUCAGAGGCCAACAUGGGUUCUAACUAGAGAUUACUAGAUUUGAUAUAUCGACACUGAUUCGAAUUCAAUUAAACUGGAACUGUAGAAAAUCCCAAUUCCCAGUACAGUAUUCAAAAUCAUAUCAUCACCCCAAACAACAGCCAAAUUGAUUGAAAAAGAAGAUCCAAACAAAAACACAAUAGGAUUUUUAUGUCCACGAAUUAAAUGAAAGAGAGAUCAGGGUAAAUAGAAAUCACAGCCCACGAUCAAUUUCUACCUCUAGCACUCUGUUCAUGGCCGUUUUCUUUAGCAAAAUAUGCGAUCGAAUUUCAUCUUGUCUGAGGGUUGCAGAAGUUAAAGGAUAAAGAUGCAGCCUGGAGAUUUCCAGAGCGUUGGGCAGAGGGGGAAAGUAAUUAAGAAAAGAGAAUGAUUGACAUGCGGUUGUCCAUGAUGUUUA